GCAGCAGCGUGUCCCCUGUGUGCUGCUGAAAGGUUUGAAAGAACUCAUGGAACUCCAUAUUUGCCUCAGAUCCGCCGGUGGGCAGGCGGGAGACGAUUGGAAAAAAAGCAACUCAAAGUGACACCAGACAGAAAUGAAGCAACUUCUUGGGGUGGCUCCCGCUGCUGCUUCAGGUUUCCUGCACCAAGCAGCCGCUUUGAGCAGAAAACUUCCAUCCUCUGAAGCCGGCGUGGCCGCCUGUUCCAUGAGGAGGUUAGCCGGCACUAAAACGUUGCCUUCACCCCGUCGGACCGGACGGUCUGAGAACGCGGCAUCUGGCCCAGCCUGCAAUUUACCCAGACACCGCCUCGUUGAGCAUGUUAUCAGCGCUAAUGAAAGCAUAACAAGGCCAUGGUCUGCUACUUCUGCUACUUUUGGAAAGUACAUUUCCUGAUUCUUCAGGACCGUCAUGUUUAGCGCAUCAAACUGUUCCUGAACCGACAUAAUCGUGGCACUGCCUUAGCCGUACCAUUUUUCA